rnacentral:rRNA from 2 species
GUACUUUUAAAUAAGUAAGAGUUUGUGGUGGAUGCCUUGGGUCUGAAAGUCGAUGAAGGACGUGAUUACCUGCGAUAAGCCUCGUGGAGCUGGAUAUAAGCUGCGAUACGGGGAUUUCCGAAUGGGGGAACCUAGUUAGAGUAUAAAUCUAACUGCAUUAAGAUGAAUAAAUAGUCUUAAUAGCGAGACACGUUGUGAACUGAAACAUCUUAGUAGCAACAGGAAAAGAAAAUAAAUAAUGAUUCCAUUAGUAGCGGCGAGCGAAAUUGGAAGAGCCCAAACCAACUAUAUGUUGGGGUUGUAGGACUAUCUACAUAAAGUUACAAAUUUUUGAUAUAGCAGAAAAAGUUGGGAAUCUUUAGCAUAGAAGGUGAUACUCCUGUAUGCGAAAUAUCAAAAACUUUUGAUAGUAUCCUGAGUAGGGCGGGGCACGUGAAACCCUGUCUGAAUCUGCCAGGACCAUCUGGUAAGGCUAAAUACUAAUCAGACACCGAUAGUGAACUAGUACCGUGAGGGAAAGGUGAAAAGAACCCCGGGAGGGGAGUGAAAUAGAAUCUGAAACCACUUACUUACAAUUAGUCAGAGGCCGUUAAUGGCUGAUGGCGUACAUCUUGCAGUAUGGACCGGCGAGUUAUGUUAACAUGCGAGGUUAAGUAGAAAAAAGCGGAGCCGUAGAGAAAUCGAGUCUUAAUAGGGCGCUUAGUAUGUUGAUAUAUACCCGAAACCAUGUGAUCUAUUCAUGAGCAGGCUGAAGCUUGGAUAACACCAAGUGGAGGGCCGACCCCCC